UACAGAGGUCCCAAGCGUUGGUCGGAUUCACUGGGCGUAAAGGGUGCGCAGGUGGCGCUUCAAGUUUGAUGUGAAAGCUUCGGGCUUAACCCGGAAAUGGCAUUGAAUACUGGAGUGCUGGAGGUUUGGAGGGGGGACUGGAAUUCUCGGUGUAGCAGUGAAAUGCGUAGAUAUCGAGAGGAACACCAGUGGCGAAGGCGAGUCCCUGGACAACACCUGACACUGAGGCACGAAAGCUAGGGGAGCAAACAGG
rnacentral:rRNA from 1 species